ensembl:lncRNA
CGCUGAUCCGCAGUGCCACCCUCACUUUGACCCCCAUGGAAACACGACCAGGGCCUUCCUGUACCCUCUGCUGGGGCUCCCAAACUGAGGGAAACCCCCUCAAAAUCCCCUAAGAAAUCCCCCAAAAUUCCCAAAAAAUGCCCAAAACCCACAAAUUUCCAGAUUUUUCCCAAAAAAAUCCCAUUUUUUUCUGAAAUUUCCCUCAUAGGUGUCGCUGAUCCGCGGUGCCACCCUCACUUUGACCCCCCUGGAAACACGACCAGGGCCUUCCUGUACCCUCUGCUGGGGCUCCCAAACUGAGGGAAAUCCCCCCAAAUCCUCUAAAAAAUCAGCAAAAUUCUCAAAAAAUGCCCAAAACCCACAAAUUUCCAGAUUUUUCCCAAAAAAAUCCCAUUUUUUUCUGAAAUUUCUCCCUUAGGUGUCUCUGAUCAGGAGCGCCACCAUCACUCUGACCCCCCCGGGGGACGCGGCCGUGGCGCUGCAGUUCCGGGGUUUCCUGCACCCGCUGCUGGGCCCGGCCGGGCCCGGCCCCAACGUCUGGGCCCGGAUCCAGCGGCUGGCCGUGGUGGCCCGGCUGGCCCGGGAGCCCAACUCCACCGAGCUGGUAAAAAACGGGAAUUUUGGGAAUUUUUGGGAAUUUUUUGGGGGAUUUCGGGUGGUUUUUGGGGAUUUUUUGAGAAUUAUUUGGGAUUUUUGGCUGGAUUUUGGAUGGGAUCUGGGGGGAUCUGGGCCCGGAUCCAGCGGCUGGCCGUGGUGGCCCGGCUGGCCCGGGAGCCCAACUCCACCGAGCUGGAGGAGGUUGGCCGCUGGGGGGCGCAGCAGAACCAAUUCCAAACCCCCAAAAUUCCAUCCAAAAACCGGGAUUUUUGUGCUAAAAUCCCGGAUUCUUUUGAGGAAAAAAAGGGUGAAUUUUGGCCCAAAAUCCCGUAAUUUUUGGGGAAAAACUCGUAAUUUUCGCCUAAAAUCCUGGAAUUUUUGUGGAAAAAAAGGGUGAAUUUUGACCUAAAAUCCCGGAAUUUUUGGUGGAAAAAACUGGGAUUUUUUGCCUAGAUUGUGUGAUUUUGUUCCGGGUAAUUUUUGGGGGAUUUACCCGUUUUUUUUCCCUUUCCCGCAGGAAGAGGUCGGCCGCUGGGGGGCGCAGCAGGAGCGGGAGACGCUCCCGGCCCCAAUUCCAAACCCCCAAAAUUCCAUCCAAAAACCGGGAUUUUGGCCUAAAAUCCCGGAAUUUUUGUGGAAAAAAAAGAGGCGAAUUUUGCCCUAAGAUCUCGUAAUAUUUGAGGAAAAAAAGGGUGAAUUUUGUUCUAAAAUGCCGGAAUUUUGGUGGAAAAGAAGGCUGAAUUUUUGCCUAAAAUCACAGAAUUUUGAGCUAAAAGCUUGGCAUUUUGGUUUAAAAUUACAGAAUUUUUUUGGGAAAAACGGGUGAAUUUUGUUUUAAAAUCCCGGAAUUUUUGUGAAAAAAAAGGGUGAAUUUUGGCUUAAAAUGCUGGAAUUUUUGUGGAAAAAAAGGCUGAAUUUUGACCUAAAAUCCCGGAAUUUUGGCCUAAAAUCCCGGAAUUUUUGUGGAAAAAAAGGCUGAAUUUUGGCCUAAAAUCACGGAAUUUUGAGCUAAAAUCCCGGAAUUUUUUGGGGUAAAAAAGGGGAAUUUUCUCCCGGAAUUUGUGAUUGGGUUCCGGGUAAAUUUUGGGGGAUUUACCCGUUUUUUCCCCUUUUCCCGCAGGAAGAGGUCGGCCGCUGGGGGGCGCAGCAGGAGCGGGAGACGCUCCCGGCCCCAAUUCCAAACCCCCAAAAUUCCAUCCAAAACCCGGGAUUUUUGUGCUAAAAUCCCGGAAUUUUUUGGGGGAAAAUCUCGGAUUUUUUGCCUAGAUUGUGGGAAUUUGUUCCGGGUAAUUUUUGGGGGAUUUACCCGUUUUUUCCCCUUUUCCCGCAGGAGGAGGUCGGCCGCUGGGGGGCGCAGCAGGAGCGGGAGACGCUCCCGGCCCCAGUUCCAAAGCCCCAAAAUUCCAUCCAAAACCCGGGAUUUUUUGGGGGGAAAAUCUCGGAUUUUUUGCCUAGAUUGUAGGAAUUUUGUAGCCGGGUAAUUUUUGGGGGAUUUACCCGUUUUUUUCCCUUUCCCCGCAGGAAGAAGUGGGCCGCUGGGGGGCGCAGCAGGAGCGGGAGACGCGCGCGCUGCGGCGGCCGCGGCCCGAGCGCCUCUUCGGGCGGGCGGCGCGGGGCAGCCGCUUCCUGCUGCAGGUGGAGGCGCUGCUCAACGCCUCGGGCGGCCAGAGCAGCGAGCUCACCCUCACCUGGGACCGCACCGGCGUGCCCGGCGGCAGCGUGAGUGCUCGGAAAAAAUCGGGAAUUUUUGGGGAAUUUUUGGGAAUUUUUUCCGGGGUGUUCUAGGUCAAUAUGUUGAAUUUUGGGGCUUUUUUUCGGCCAUUUUUGGCCAUUUUUAAUGGGUUUUUUUGGUUGUUAAAGUGAAUUUUGUCAGAGAUUUUGGUCCCUGAAGGUCUCCAGAAGUAGCAAAAAAGUUCGAGAAUUUUUCAGAAUUUUUUGGGAUUUUCUUCAGGCAUUUUUGGGUCAUUCUAGUGAAUUUUAGGCCUUUUUUGAUCUAUUAUAGUGGAUUUUAGGAAGAUUUUGGGGGGAUUUUGGUCCCUGGAAGUCUCCAAGAGUCCCUAAAAGAAUUGAGAAAUUUUGGGAAUUUUUUGAGAUUUUUGGGGAUUUUUUUGUGAAUUUUUACCUAAUUUUUUGGAAUUUUUCGGAAUUUUUCCAGGCAUUUUUCAGAAAUUUCCUGUGAUUUUUUUGGUGGAUCAAAAAUAUUCGGGAAUUUUUUGGGAUUUUUUUCCCUGGGGCAUUCCGGGUCGAUAGAUUGAAUUUUUGGGUCAUUUUUGGCGAUUUUAAAUGGGUUUUUGGGUCGUUAUAGCAAAUUUUUGGGGGUAUUUUGGUCCUUUGAGAGUUUCAGAAGUAGCAAAGCAGGUGGAGGCGCUGCUCAACGCCUCGGGCGGCCAGAGCAGCGAGCUCACGCUCACCUGGGACCGCACCGGCGUGCCCGGCGGCAGCGUGAGUGCCCGGGGAAAUAUUGGGAAUUUUUGGGGAAUUUUUCCGGGGUGUUCU